CGGCCCACGGCAUAGGCGGCCUAGACCGUUGCCUAGGGCGCCAUCUGGUGAGGGGGCGCCAAAUGGCAGUCUCCCUCUCAGUCUUUCUUUCCUUUUUUUUUAAAUUUUUUUUUAUUCACUUUCUUAAUGCACCAUUAUGUUUACUCUCAGUCUCUCAACCUAUAAAUAACUACAAAUUUUGUGAAACUUAAAAUAAAACUCGUUUUCACUAAUCAUGACUCACAACUCUCGCGAGUUGUGAGUCACGCAUGCAUCCUUUUCCAUCUGAUCUGCGGCGCCGCCGCCGGGGCGGCGCCCCGCGCUACUACAGCAUGCUGUUGAGUUUACAAGGUGAGUGAGUGGGGGAUGGGCAGCGCAUCCCAUCAGUUUAUUGAUGAGAUGGUCGUCGUCGUAGCGCUGUCAUUUUUGUAAACAUAAAACUUUUAUCAUGAAAAGGCUGUCCAAGCCUUCGGGUGCUGCUUUCAGAAAGCGAAGAAGAGAAGAGGAGGAGAAACGGGCUCAAAGUCGAGGUAUAUAUUCUUUGGAUAAUGACAUAAUUCGACCUUUCAUCUGGAUGUCAAUUUACGAUUGUGCUAACGCUAGCUAAGUCAAAUGCUACUUAUUAUGUGCUAUAACCUACCUCUAUUUGUUGAAACAUCAUACAUUCUUGCCUGUGCCAGUUUAUUUAAUAGAGCAGACGUUUUACCUCGUUGGUUUAGUCACUUUUGUGCAUAAUCCACAAAUUCAUGUAAUGUGCAAGCAUGUUUCUUUUGAUCAGAUGCUCUGAGAAAAUAUCUACAGCCACGACAGGGGCCAACUGUAGAAGCUGCUGCAGAAGAGGCAGCAAGCUCGGUCUCACAGUUACCUUCUCCUGUGGCUGUUAGUGACAGUGACAGUGAACAUUCAUCUCAAGCAUUAAGCAGAAGCACAGCAGUGAUUGAGACACAACUUCAAAAUGUUGAUGCUGGAGCAGUCAGUGAAGCACCAAGCAGCAGCACUGUAAUUCUUCAGACACCACCUCAAACGGUUGAACCAGGUGAGUAUUAUACAUUUUGUAUUAUAUAUAGGAAUAUACAUUCAUUCUAUUUUAUAUAUAUAUAUAUAUAU